AUUGAACGCUGGCGGCAUGCUUUACACAUGCAAGUCGAACGGCAGCGCGGGCUUCGGCCUGGCGGCGAGUGGCGAACGGGUGAGUAAUACAUCGGAACGUGCCCGGUAGUGGGGGAUAGCUCGGCGAAAGCCGGAUUAAUACCGCAUACGACCUGAGGGUGAAAGCGGGGGAUCUUCGGACCUCGCGCUAUUGGAGCGGCCGAUGGCAGAUUAGCUAGUUGGUGGGGUAAAGGCCUACCAAGGCGACGAUCUGUAGCUGGUCUGAGAGGACGACCAGCCACACUGGGACUGAGACACGGCCCAGACUCCUACGGGAGGCAGCAGUGGGGAAUUUUGGACAAUGGGCGAAAGCCUGAUCCAGCAAUGCCGCGUGUGUGAUGAAGGCCUUCGGGUUGUAAAGCACUUUUGGCGGGAACGAAAAGGACUGUGCCAAUACCACGGUUCGAUGACGGUACCCGCAGAAUAAGCACCGGCUAACUACGUG
rnacentral:rRNA from 1 species